rnacentral:sRNA from 1 species
GCUUUGUCUGAUCUGACCUUGUCCUCUUCCUUCCUUUUUGCAGACCAUGGGGGAUGUGAAGCUGGUUGCCUCGUCACACAUUUCCAAAACCUCCCUCAGUGUGGAUCCCUCAAGAAUUGACUCCAUGCCCCUGACAGAGGCCCCUGCUUUCAUUUUGCCCCCUCGGAACCUCUGCAUCAAAGAAGGAGCCACCGCCAAGUUCGAAGGGCGGGUCCGGGGUUACCCAGAGCCCCAGGUGACAUGGCACAGAAACGGGCAACCCAUCACCAGCGGGGGCCGCUUCCUGCUGGAUUGCGGCAUCCGGGGGACUUUCAGCCUUGUGAUUCAUGCUGUCCAUGAGGAGGACAGGGGAAAGUAUACCUGUGAAGCCACCAAUGGCAGUGGUGCUCGCCAGGUGACAGUGGAGUUGACAGUAGAAGGAAGUUUUGCGAAGCAGCUUGGUCAACCUGUUGUUUCCAAAACCUUAGGGGAUAGAUUUUCAGCUCCAGCAGUGGAGACCCGUCCUAGCAUCUGGGGGGAGUGCCCACCAAAGUUUGCUACCAAGCUGGGCCGAGUUGUGGUCAAAGA